AGGACGAACGCUGGCGGCGUGCUUAACACAUGCAAGUCGAGCGGAAAGGCCCUUCGGGGUACUCGAGCGGCGAACGGGUGAGUAACACGUGAGCAACCUGCCCUUAGCUCCGGGAUAGCUCCGGGAAACCGGAAUUAAUACCGGAUACGACCACGGCCGACAUCUGCUGUGGUGGAAAGGAUUCCGGCUAAGGAUGGGCUCGCGGCCUAUCAGCUAGUUGGUGGAGUAACGGCCCACAAGGCGACGACGGGUAGCCGGCCUGAGAGGGCGACCGGCCACACUGGGACUGAGACACGGCCCAGACUCCUACGGGAGGCAGCAGUGGGGAAUAUUGGACAAUGGGCGCAAGCCUGAUCCAGCCAUGCCGCGUGGAUGAUGAAGGCCUUAGGGUUGUAAAGUCCUUUUAACGGGGAAGAUAAUGACGGUACCGUAGAAUAAGCCCGGCUAACUUCGCGCCAGCAGCCGC
rnacentral:rRNA from 1 species